GAUGAACGCUGGCGGCGUGCUUAACACAUGCAAGUCGAACGAAGCACUUUAUUACGAUUUCUUCGGAAUGACGAUUUAGUGACUGAGUGGCGGACGGGUGAGUAACGCGUGGGUAACCUGCCUUAUACAGGGGGAUAACAGUUAGAAAUGACUGCUAAUACCGCAUAAGCGCACAGGAUUGCAUGAUCUGGUGUGAAAAACUCCGGUGGUAUAAGAUGGACCCGCGUCUGAUUAGCUGGUUGGUGAGGUAACGGCCCACCAAGGCGACGAUCAGUAGCCGACCUGAGAGGGUGACCGGCCACAUUGGGACUGAGACACGGCCCAAACUCCUACGGGAGGCAGCAGUGGGGAAUAUUGCACAAUGGGGGAAACCCUGAUGCAGCGACGCCGCGUGAGCGAAGAAGUAUUUCGGUAUGUAAAGCUCUAUCAGCAGGGAAGAAAAAAAUGACGGUAC
rnacentral:rRNA from 1 species